AGGGACGGGACGCGGUGCAGUG
rnacentral:miRNA from 1 species